UCUGAUGUGUGAGGUUAUGAGGUGGUGUGUAUCUGUCCAGGGGUCUCUUCAGGUCUGAUGUGUGAGGUUAUGAGGUGGUGUGUGUCCGUCCAGGGGUCUCUUCAGGUCUGAUGUGUGAGGUUAUGAGGUGGUGUGUGUCUGUCCAGGGGUCUCUUCAGGUCUGAUGUGUGAGGUUAUGAGGUGGUGUGUGUCUGUCCAGGG